rnacentral:rRNA from 1 species
AUUGAACGCUAGCGGCAGGCCUAACACAUGCAAGUCGAGGGGUAGCAGGAUUAAGCUUGCUUAAUUGCUGACGACCGGCGCACGGGUGCGUAACGCGUAUGCAACCUACCUUAUACUGGGGUAUAGCCCGGAGAAAUUCGGAUUAAUCCCCCAUAGUACUAAUGAAUCGCAUGGUUUAUUAGUUAAAGCAUUGCGGUAUAAGAUGGGCAUGCGUCCUAUUAGCUAGAUGGUGAGGUAACGGCUCACCAUGGCUACGAUAGGUAGGGGGCCUGAGAGGGUGGUCCCCCACACUGGUACUGAGACACGGACCAGACUCCUACGGGAGGCAGCAGUGAGGAAUAUUGGUCAAUGGGCGCAAGCCUGAACCAGCCAUGCCGCGUGCAGGAAGAAUGCCCUAUGGGUUGUAAACUGCUUUUAUUUGGGAAUAAACCUCUUUACGUGUAGAGAGCUGAAGGUACCAAAUGAAUAAGCACCGGCUAACUCCGUGCCAGCAGCCGCAGUAA